GCCGAGAUAGUCUAGUCUGGUAAGGCGCAGGACUUGAAAUCCUGUGGAGAUCUCCUCCUCCUGGGUUCAAAUCCCAGUCUCGGCG
rnacentral:tRNA from 1 species